rnacentral:rRNA from 1 species
AACGUAGGAGACAAACGUUAUCCGGAGUUACUGGGCGUAAAGGGCGUGUAGGCGGUCUGUUAAGUCUGGCGUGAAAGCUCUCGGCUAAACCGGGAGAGGUCGUUGGAUACUGGCAAACUAGAGGACGGUAGAGGCGUGUGGAAUUCCGGGUGUAGUGGUGAAAUGCGUAGAGAUCCGGAGGAACACCAGUGGCGAAGGCGACACGCUGGGCCGUACCUGACGCUAAAGCGCGACAGCAUGGGGGAGCAAACGG